rnacentral:rRNA from 1 species
AACGAACGCUGGCGGCAUGCCUAACACAUGCAAGUCGAACGAGAUCUUCGGGUCUAGUGGCGCACGGGUGCGUAAGGCGUGGGAAUCUGCCCUUUGGUUCGGAAUAACAGUUGGAAACGACUGCUAAUACCGGAUGAUUACGAAAGUCCAAAGAUUUAUCGCCAGAGGAUGAGCCCGCGUAGGAUGAGCUAGUUGGGGUGGUAAAGGCGCACCAAGGCGACGAUCCUUAGCUGGUCUGGGAGGAUGAACAGCCACACUGGGACUGAGACACGGCCCAGACUCCUACGGGAGGCAGCAGUGGGGAAUAUUGGACAAUGGGCGAAAGCCUGACCCAGCAAUGCCGCGUGAGUGAUGAAGGCCUUAGGGUUGUAAAGCUCUUUUACCCGGGAUGAUAAUGACAGUACCGGGAGAAUAAGCUCCGGCUAACUCCGUGCCAGCCGCCGCGGUAA